UCCGAUAUGGUGUAGGGGUUAGCAUUGGUCGCUUUCAUUUCAGAGCUUCUGUUAUAGAGCCGACUAGACCCGGGUUCGAUUCCCGGUAUCGGAA